rnacentral:lncRNA from 1 species
GUUUUUAUCUAAAGAAUUGAUAAUAAUAGCAAACGACCACAUUAAUGUAUGUAUUACGAGUUAUCAGAGGUUUGAAAGUCUGUUCUUCGAAUUAGAUUUGUUUCUACAUUACACGUUACAUACUUGUUAUUGCAAACUUGUUUCUUUAUAAUUUGUAGGAUUAUUUCCAUCUAAGAAAUAUGGCGUUCAUGAGUAAUUUGACAAUUCAAAUAAACAGUACUCGGAAUGAGACGGCGACCAACGACACACUUCAAUCUCAGGUAUUUAUGAUUUUUAAAGUCAAACAAGUAAUACUGCAAUCUUAACCAUUAAAAAAUGAAAACAACACUAUAUAAAUUGCAUGCGUUUGAUUCAGUUCUAUUGAUUUAACAUUAUAUAAAAUAAAAUAUAUCAGUAAACGUAUUGUUUUAUUUGAAGUUUUCUUAAUGUUUUUUUUUUGUUUUUUUUUGGGGUGGUAAGGAGGGGGGGGGGGGUAAGUUGGUGCUUUUGCUAAUUGAACAUUGACUAUAGGCCUCGGAUCGUUUGAGAGUGUGCUGCUUCAUUACAGCCUAAUGACGGCCAUACGGUGACAAACCGUUCCUUACAUGCACGACAUGUGUCUUAUAAGCGAUUUUGAUCUCAUUAGCACACAGUGCGUUGUCAUAGAAGGAGAGAAGUCUGACUUCAUAAAUGUAGAGUCGGUAGUCCCACAUGUCAUAAUUUUGUAUUGAAGGGUCAAAAUGGGUUUGUGUCAUGAACAUAGGCCAGUCAUAAAGUCACAAUGAGUUAUUACAUUUCAUGAAGCAUUCUCGACAUAAAUUGUUUGAUAUAACGAUUUGAUGAUACGUGUUCUUACCUAGAUAACGUACUCCUGGAUUAUAGCACGAACAUUUUUCAAAUGUAAAAGGAAAAGGUUAACUCAGAAUCUGUUUUUUGUAUUGUAGUUUUUUGAGUCUGUGUUAGUGCUUUGAAAAGUCUUAUAUAGAAUUAUAUAUUUAUAAUUUGUUCUAGACAUGCUAGAGCACACUCAACAUACUGUAAACGCACUUAAAAUCGUGGGUAUCAGUGUUCGUGGUUUGAGCAACAUUUACAUGUUCAUGGGGUGUUAAAUUAGUGAAUUAUAGUUUCUAUCAUAGCAUAUCAAUACCGGAAGUCUGACUUUCAUUGAUCACAAAUAUUUAUUUUUUUUUAUGAACACAAAUAUUUUUUUAUGAACAUCAACAGAUCAAAAGUUGUUCUGUUUAGGUUUUUAAAGAUUAAAUGGGUAUAUAGUGCGUUUGCCCUGUCAAGGUGGGUAUAGUUGUCCUGCGAGAGAACGUUCUGUGCUGGUGAUUCGGUCCUGACGGGUGCUGGUGAUUAAUGAAAAAAAUGUAAACAAAGACGAAAAUGAUGAUUUUUGACGUUUUCACUCAUAAAAAAUGGAAGAAAACAGUUGAGAUUUUUCAAUUUUGUUUCUUAUGGGUUCCUAUAUAAACCAUUAAAAAGUUGACCCUCUAAACUGUUUCAGUAAGCGUAACACAAAAAUGCUCAUUUUCAGAAAAUCUCGAACUGAAAAAAAAAAUAAACAAAAAUGCUCAUAGAGUCCGCUUUCUAUACCGCAAUCCACACGACAAAACUAUUUUGUGAAAAAACAUUGCAAUUUAUUAAAAUUUAGCAUUUUCUCAAUUUAUAUUCAUGUCCUGAUACUGUGCUGGUGGGUCCUGUCAUUGUGCUGGUGGGUCCUGAUACGGUGCUGGUGAUUUUGGAUAAGAAGUUGGUCAUAUUUGAAACAAAUGUUACAAAAUCAAUAAAAUUGGGCAGAUAAUUGUUGUCAAUAGGAUCUAUGACUCCUAUUUUAGCUUGUGUGCAUCCAUUUGGCUGUUUAAUAUAUGUUUUCAAAUGAUCGUAACUUGUAUUACAUAAUUACAUAAAAGGGCAACAUCUUUCGUCCAAUAUCAGAUAACAAUAUAUAGUAUCUAAAAUAAGAAUAGUUUUAUUAAGAUAUUAAAUGCCCCUUACAUUGAUGCUUCAACAAUGAUCAAAGCCCAUGCCGCAUAGACAUGUUUGUUAGCGCUCCGCAUACCCCUCCCCACUUCUACCCAACCAACCCUUCUCAUUUCCUCCUUCAUUGUUACAGUGGUGUACUAACACAACAAUUUAUCACAUAAAAUAAUAACACAAAGACACACAUUAUUGAACAACGAAUGCUCGCAGGUACUGAAAGCUAGUUCAAAGCCGCAUUUCAACACAAUGAAUUGAACACAUAUCUAAAAUAUUUCCGACCAACUGACUAUAUGAUAUAUGUACAUUUAAUUUGUCUCAUAAUAUUGUUUCUCUUAGGAGAAAUAUAUAGAAGCGUAAGAUACAUGUGCUAGAAUGUUUGUAUUACUUAUCAUAGUCUAGUAGUUACAUAGUGAUCUGAGUGUUAACGUCUUUGCUUUAUGAUUCUAGUAGUGAACAUUUAUGCCCAAUAAUAUAUUGGUUCGAGAGUGAUCUAUGUGCCAUCUCGUACAGUUGUUCGCUGUAGAGAGUAAUUGGUCUACCUGUCAUAAGCCUGUCAUACCGUGAGAGGAGCAGUGUGUAUCACAGCGCAAGAUGCCAGACUUUCGGUUUUUGCAAGCGUUGAUACGUUUUGUUUUAAAUAUACUUGUGUAUAUUCAAGUUAAGAUAAGUAGACAUACAGACGUGCGAGAGCGUAGGUAUUAUACUUGUAUUCUUUAAACUAUUAAUAAAUGAUAUUUCUUGUGUAACCAGAGAAUAAUUUCUUGAGUGAAUGAAACGUGAAAGUGGUAUAUACAAUUUAAUAAUUUAAAAUAAAUUUAGUACUAGUAUUAUAGAUUUUGUGUGGCGCGAGGCAUCCGUGUUAUUCGUUAUAUUCUGAUUCUAUGAAAUUUUUCUGAAAUGUGCAAGUAUUACAGUGUACCAUGCUAAAGUAUAGAUCUUGCUAUUUUGAUAUAUACAAAUCCUUGCUAUUUUGCUGCAUAGCUCUUUAUAUGACAGUAACUAUAUUGACUUAUAUUUAAGACGUGUCCUAGAUCUCACUAUGUGAGCAUGGAAGACAUAAGAUAGUGGCCAUAUAUGUAUCUUUUGGUUUUGAUCCUAUAGCAACUUGCUGAACAGAAAAGUACAUGUUAUAUGAGGUUAUUGUGCGAGUUUAUAUACCUAACUCCCUAUCGUGUUAAGAGCACUUAAUACACGUCAAAAAUAGAGCACGAGUACUGUCUCUAUGUCUUUGGAGCAUCUCUCAGUGACACUACAUAUCGAUAAGUUGGAGUGAGUAGUUAGAUAUAGCCAUUGUGACACCUAUUACAAAUAAUGACAUAUCUCAAGGUGUUAUACAAAACAAGCAUAGUGAACUAACCAAGAGAAUUAUUCAUGGGUGGAAUAUAUGAUUAGAUAUUAUGUCCCUUAUUGUUUAACACUUAUACCUAUUGACUCAAAACAUGUGAAUCGUCAUGGAUAAACUACAUAAAUAUACGGUCAGUUACGUUUUAUUACAUUUCCAUAUCUAGUUGGUUCUAAUGCUUGUCUUUACUAGCGAUGAUCCAGAUAAUUGUGGCCUUGAUCGAACUCUCCUGUUAAUCAUAUAUUGGAUACAUAUAUGGUCAAGAAUUUCUCUCCUAAGACAGAAAGAUAAUACUUGGUUGAGUUAAUUUCCUAGGACUCGACCUUGUAUGACUAUAUAUAUAUGUGAUUUUCGAUACAUACACACCCUCUGAAUAUUCAAGUAGAGUAGCUGUAUAUAUAGACGACCUCAUUUAUAUGCUUCUCGGAGGUGUCGGGCUGGUGAGUAGCUCUUAGCAAGAGUUGAGAUAUUUAUGUCUAGACUUCGUUGUUUGUGUAUAUUUUUGGGUGAUAUGAUUUUAUACAUAAACGUGUGAGGGCACAGACAAUUAAGAAAAUGUCAUUUCUCGUGCGACUUACUAGAUAAGACAAAGACUUCUUUCAUUUACUACCAGUUAAAGCAGAAAGAGGAGUGAACUGAUUUAUAGUGUUUAAACACUCUAAAUUUAUUCUACAUAGUAUAGAUGGAAAUCAAUAUUAUUGUCAUUGAAUACUAUUUCGUAAUACCCUACUAGUCCACAUAUUGGUGAGGGACGGGGAUGGAGUUUGUGUUAUUUAUUAUAUAUUGGGGAGAUCGACAGUGGGGUAUGAGUUCUAAGUCUAUUGCAUGGUCCUGCUGUAGACCCUGGAUAAAAUCUAUAAAUGGACCUACUCUUUUUAUCUCCGAUACCUACUGCGCAGACAAAUGGAAUUGCCCUUAAACUGAUUCACAAGAACUGACAAAUUGUAUUACUACCUGAGAGCACGUUCCAUACAACAUAUAUAUGGCAGCGGCUAUUACGAUUCGUUGACUGAGUCGAGUCUGUUACACUUCCCAUCCUUAUCCAACGCACAAUAUUCUCUGCUCAAGGAUAAAAUAGUGAAUACUUAAUACCUAAUUUACAUCUUCUGAACUACUCUCGACCCGCAUGCGGGCUGCGAUGUGCAUAUUUUUAUAAGUUUGUGGUGAGAAGUGUUCUUUGAGAGAGACCAUCGGUGGCAGAAGUUACAGCAGAGCACGAGCUAUACGCAUAUGAUAACAAUAUACAAGGCGUAGUUUAAUGAUUGACAUUGUAUAUCAUAGGUCUCUCUUGCUAAACUGACGUAUCUCUGAAGACACCUGUGUGACAUAACUCUGAAAUAGCAAUGAGUGUUUUGUGUAAUAUCUGUGCUUUUAUUAACUCCCUUUUCUCAGUGAUAUCUUAUAUAUAUUAAUAUUGCGAUUUACAUGCAAUAAGCCAAAAUAUUGUCAAUAAUAAUAAAAUACUCAGUCGUUAAAGACUUACAGUUCUCAUAUAGAGGUAACAAUCAUAAGAAAACUCGAGAGUCGACAGAAAACAUGAUGAGUGAAAUGAUGUACAAUAAUACAUAUUGGAUAGCGAGAUCAAUUCUCCACCAGAUAAGAUGUAGAUGUGCUGUUGCUGACCGAUACUAUAAAUAUCUUAAAACGUCUUAUUGUGAUACUAUUAAGUCCAUAUAUCAACAACUAAUAACAAGUGUUAAGAUUUACAUAUAGAAGUUGAGAGACUUUUUACCACUAACAUUACAUAUACAAUUAGUGCACAAUUAAUUCUAAAAUAGUGAUAACAAAACAGACACUAAUGAAUAUUUCUAUAUAUCGAUAAAAAUAUAUAUAGAUCUCCUCAGAAAUAAUUACAGAGGCAACUUACGUAAGCUGGUAAGGGACGCCAGCAAUAUUUGCUUCUCAUCGUCAUACGCGUCCUCAACGCUAUGUAACCAUCAAUUUAUAAUCAAACAAGCGUUAAAAGGUAUAUUAUAUUUUACUCUUACUGAGAGAUUCAUCAAAUAGUGAUAGAUAAUAAGCUGAAAGAACAUCUUGUUUUGAGUUAGUGUAUGUUCUCUAGGGUUCAUGAGACUACAUGUGCAGUAUCCCUUAAGUUACAUCAUAGACUCUAACUAAAUACCAUAAGUGUUCUGCCCUAUAUCUUCAUCAAUAAAUAGUGAAUUUUUUAUAAUUAGCGUACUAUAUUCUCUGAAAAUAGACUUAUAAUCUCACUGUAUAUAAUCUCCAAAUUCAGACAAAAAAAUAAUACUGUAUGAAAAAAUCUGUACAGAAUAGCGUGAUCUUAUGCUAGCUGUGACUUUAUAUCUAUAUAUAGUGAGGCGAUAUAUCGUGUUAAAAUAUGCAACUGUUUACGAAGAAAUCUCGUGUGUCACGAAUACAUCCAUCUUAUCGACUUAAUAAGACUUUCCCACAGAUAUAACACUCGUCUCUAUUCUAUACCUAUCCCCACAUAUCCCAUCUCGCCCGUAUCACGUAUAAUUAAUAAAUUAUCCACCCCAACAAGAAACCAAACCCAGCAAUUAUUCUUUUUUUGGCUAGAUACUUAAUGUAGGUCCGCACUUCGAGAAUUACAUUCACAUACAAUACUAUGUUUUACACUAAAGACAAAAUUGAUCCCCAUCACGCUUCCGACCUUCGUCCUCUGUCUCCUAUUUCUGCUCUCACUCUUUUAUGCAAAACCUUUACAUCUUCUAUUUAUGGUCAUUGCGUUGCAGGGUCGUCGUGACGACGUUUAUGUUGUUAACACAUACUUCCUUUGGUUCUUAAUGGAAAAAUCUUUGUCCCUCAUCUCACAACAAACAUACCACCCCUAGCAACUAUACAUUUCAAAUGGUUCGUCCCCUUAUAUUAUAAGGAUUGAGUGGAGUUAUAAAUUACAACGAUAUUUUGUGUUGCGCUGUCUUAAAAUUAUUCAUUAAUCCCGAUGCAACUCUGAUAAACAUAUUCUUAAUCUUUAAUAAUGGGAACUAAAGAAAAGUGCGAGUGAGCUUCUCUAAUUACGAGCUAAAACCUAAUCUUUAUUCCACUUCAUUAUGAGUUGAAACACAUACAUGAAUCAUAAAAUGUGAAGAGGAUAAGUUGUGGUGCCUAUUUGUGUAUUCGUGCGUCAUAAUAUAUACUCAGUAAACAGAUUACUACAACUCUCAUGUUCUGAACACUUCAUAGAAUUCUCUAGAAGACAAACAGUUAUAAUCACUACACAUAAUGAUAACAUGUACCACUAGAGCAAUCCAAAUAGAUAUACUUCGAGAAUGCAUUAUAGCCUAGCCGUUUAAACGUAAUAUAACAUAAUGACGCAGGUUCUACUAGUUAACACCAGCUGACAUAAGAGUAGACCAACAAGACUACGACUCCAUCUUUCUUAUUCUUAAUCAAUAGCACAGCGACGACUGAGACGUUACAUGGACAUAUAUCCAGUGGUUUGUGAUACGAGACUUGUCACGUACUUUUAACCAAAUAUUGAAAUAUUGUUGUAAUAUCUUUGCAGAUACUUAUGACGCAUAGAGAAAAAUAGCUAACAAACAGUCGUUUUUUGCCGUUCUGAUACAAAGAAACAAACCACCAGACAGAAUCAGGACCCACCAGCACAUGACAGAACUCAAAUUACACACAGCAACAGAAACGUUCCUCUCGCAGAACAAACCAAAUAUGCACCACGCGUCUGCCUAUGUUGGACUGUACCUAUUAUUUCUCUUACAUCAUAUCAGCAGUCAAAACCUUUGUGGUGUGUAUCUUUCCAUAUCUUGAUUUUAGACAUACGAUACGUUUUGGUCGUUUCGCUCUAAUUAAGAAUGCGACUCAUAGAUAGACUGUUCACUUCAUCACAAAAACCACGAUAAAUUGCGUUCCCCCACGACUAUUUAAAUUCGUACUGUUCCCAUUCUACUAUUUAAUUAUAUUAUCUCAAAUAUGUAGUUACGUAGUUAUUUUUAAUGAGUCGUCUCUAUGUAUGAUAUAAGCAGACAUGCGUCCUUACGUGAAAAUCAAUUACAUAUGUCAAGGUAGGCUGUCAUACAUACAAACAUAUCUAUUAGAUAUCAAAUAUCACAACGAACUCUGCAUUGGACUCUUGAGCCCAUGAGUCCUUUUAAAUUUUCAAGACAUUUAAAAUCAUAAUCGAGGUAUCCAAUAGAAUACAAUUACUAAAACUUCUUUAACACCUCAUAUAAUCUAUUCUAAAUUACUUGUAUUCGGUUUCGGACUUUAUUUUGUUUCGUGUGAAACAUGAAAAAGAGAGUAAGAUAUGUAAUCUCUCGUAUUGUCAGCAUAUAUCUACACAUGUAUACAUAUAUCUUAUUAUCUGUAGUUGAAACGAUCUACCCAAAGUUUCUUUGUGGUCUGAUUAAAAUGUAGAACAAUUCGAAUCGUCUGGUGACGUUAUGUAGACUGUAUAUAUAUAUCGCGCGUUGCUCCUGGGUGAUGUAAUCGCCUCCACUGCUCAUAAUUAAGAGUGCUACCAGUAUAAGAUCUCCUAUUGGCUACUCCUAAGUGUCUGAAAUAAUGGUGUGAGACUUAAGAUAUAAGUGAUAUUUGGUAAGUCUAUCAGGAAUUUAUACAGAGCGAGUACAAAAUAUGCGAAUAAGCGUAAGUGUUUAUAUAAAAAUCGCGUGAUACAACCAAUGAUUUCUACAUAGAUAAAUAUCAUUGCGAGUCUUAUUUUGAACGUAAUUAUUGUAGAUUACAGUUAUACCCGCACAGAUACAUGCCAGCGUGUAGUUUUAUUGUGACCUCACUGUCCUUAAGAAUUAUAUCUUUGAAUAUUUAAUAAUAGUUCCAGCGUGUGAGUGCCUUAUCUGAGGAUACAGCGAUUAACUCUAACUUGUGAUCAAAUGUCUCUUUCUUCUGUGUGGUAUUAUAUCUACGGUUGUAUUAGUUUAACUUUAAAUAUGAUAUAAAUUAGAUAUAAAAAUCACUUUACAUAUAUAUUAGAGUGCUAUAUUAAGUUAUUUAUAUAUAUAUAUAUCUCGUAUCUCUAUUAACAUGCCCGAUAAUAGUAUUAUUUAUAUUGGUUCAACCUCGGGAGGGGGCUAAAUAAUUGAUAGCAAGUUGAAUAGUUUAAAGGGUCUAAUUAUUAUUUUGUCUAUAUACAUAUAUAGAACAGUGAUCACAACUAUUAAUUUGUCUCUCUUAGCCGAAUUAGAACAUUUAUUAACAAUACUUAUUGUAAUAUUCGUAUAUAUAGGACACUCGUACAGGAUUGGCGAGUAAGUUAGUUGAGUUAGUUAUCAAUACCAAAACCGUAGUAUCGCGAGUUUUGGGUGUCUUCACCGGACUGAAUAAUGGGUGGCUGGAUGUGGAUAUUUAUGAAACUUUUAGAUACGCUGUAUAACUAUAUGAGAUUAUCAUUUUUUUUCGAACAGAAACUAAGCGAGUGCGCAGUAUCUUGCGCCAAGUCAAAUCAAAAAUCAAGAAUUACAUCUAUCGAUACAAAAGAUGAGUCAGUGUUAAAAAUGUAGUACAAUUCAAAUCAUCAAAUGCGCUGUUUCCUUGUUGUGUUUUCUAUUUACAACAUACUGGAUAAUCUCUAGUAAUCUGAAUUAUAUUACCCGACUAACAUACACAUAUGUCAAGGGCUGUCAUACAUACAAAGUCAUAAUAUCAAAAGAAGAAAGGUUGCAUUGACUUUUACCAUGUCCUUUUAAAAGAUUUAAAAUACAAACCAUGAUAUUACUAACUUUUUAACCAACUCUUUACAGGAUCGUUACUAUUAAAACUAAAAUAAAACUAGAAAUACAACUAAAUCGAUAAACUACCAAGUGGCAUAUAUGUAUGUAGACGAAACGCGCGUCUGGCGUACUAAAUUAUAAUCCUGGUACUUUUGAUAACUAUAUAUAAUCAUCAGGAAAAGAACACAAACAAAGGUUAAAAAACUGGAAACAAUUCUUAAAUAUCAUUUGAACUAUAUGAAAGACGUUGAUUUGAUUAUUUUGAUUGUUUCUUGCUGGGUACUCUGACAUCUUUUUAUAUAUCAGUGUUGUCUUAUGAUACUUUGAAUAUAGAGUAUAGUGCCCCGUAGAACUUCACAUCUCGGGAGGGGGGUAUAGCUGUUUUAUUGUCAUAAAAACGUGAUCCAAGUAUUUCUAAAAGUUUAUUAACAUAGACCAUUCAUAAUAAAAACAGGAUGCAAUUGUCUGGAUGUGAUUUAUAACUUAGAUACGCUAUAAUAAUAAAUUUAGAAGAAAUAACAUGGUUGCCGUCAUUAACUAUUCGUACGUGAAGUGUAUGAUCCCAAUAAUGCAUGGAUAAUAAAAGAUUUGAUCUAUUACAGGGUCUUAAAUGGAUAUCAUUGAUUAUUCUUCUUGGGACACUCUUUUUUAACCUCUUGGUGGUGGUGCUUUUGAUUUCAAGAAAUCAUAAAUCAAGAAUGCGAUUCUUCGUCAUUAACCUCGCUAUUGCAGGUAAGGAUUGUAUAUUAACUACCAUAGAGCAACUCAGAUUCUUUGAAUUCCAAAAAUAUGGCUAAGGUAAGCUAUGCCUGGAAUAAGACAAUCCUUAGUAUUUGGGAAAAAACAUACUUUUGUAAACAGAAAAUUUAUAAAAAUUAGUAAAUAAUUUAUAUUUAUGUCAAUACCAGAAUAUCUUUGUGAACUAAACGUGUAAUCUAUCUGAAACUGUGAAUUUAAUGUUCAAAUUCAAGGAUAAUUCUUUUGAUCUGGUUUUUAGAAAUAUUUUGAUUAAAUGCUUUUAAACAUAUUUAACUUCCUACUUGUAUUUUUGUGUUCAAAUCAAAGUAUAUAUUUAUCAGAAAUAUUUGAAAUCGUAUUUCGGUUGACUUAUCAUAAAGUAGAAACAUAUAUAUUUAUUUUUACGUUUUCUUCAUAAUCGAAAUAUACUACGUCAGAAAUUACAGAUAAUGUAUCAAACAGCUUUCUAAAGUGCAAAUGCAAUUACAGUUGUCAAUAUAUAUCAUGUUAUUUGUCAUGACUGCCAAGAAAAACAUCCAUUUAACAAAAAAUCACUGAGAACUACUUUAUAGUUAUCUGAUUUGACAAUGAGAUCUUGUGUUUGUCUGAUACAUAGAAAGUAGCUAUAACAUACCUAUAUACUGUAUUGUAUACAUAUUAAAGAUGCUAUUAAAUAUAUUCGGGCAAACAGAACUUCAUUUAUGUAAUUUAUUGAAUUGAUAUAUUAAUUUAGUUAGUGAACUGUUAUGUUAAUCAUUCUAAUUUAUUUCCGAAAACAAACUAAUUCCAAUGCUUAUAAAUCAUUUGUAAAUGUUUGUUUUGACAGUUCCUCAAUUCCAUUAAGUAUGUUUAAGACAGUAUCUAAAAAGACAAAAAGUGGG